GACGAACGCUGGCGGCGUGCUUAACACAUGCAAGUCGAACGAAGUGGCGAACGGGUGAGUAACGCGUAAUCAACCUGCCCUUCAGAGGGGGACAACAGUUGGAACCGACUGCUAAUACCGCAUACGGAAGGAGGGGAUUGCGUUUGAUUAGCUCGUUGGAGGGGUAACGGCCCACCAAGGCGAGGAUCAGUAGCCGGUCUGGGGGGAUGAACGGCCAAAAUGGGACUGAGAACCGGCCCAGAACCCUACGGGAGGCAGCAGUGGGGAAUCUUCCGAAAUGGACGAAAGUCUGACGGAGCAACGCCGCGUGAGUGAUGACGGCCUUCGGGUUGUAAAGCUCUGUUAAUCGGGACGCGGUACCGGAAUAGAAAGCCACGGCUAACUACGUGCCAGCAGCCGCGGUAAUAC
rnacentral:rRNA from 1 species